rnacentral:rRNA from 1 species
AUGAAUCGGAGACUUAAUCCUGAUAUACCUCAAAACGAUACAUUCUUGUUACCACGAGAUGUAUUAUCCGCUAUGGAUCAUUUGAUUGGAAUGAAAUUUGAAACGGGUAUACUUGACUAUGACGAUAUGAAUCACCUGAAAAAUAAGCGUAUUCAUUCCGUUGCAGAUUUGUUACCAUGA